UGGGGAAUUUUGGACAAUGGGCGAAAGCCUGAUCCAGCAAUGCCGCGUGUGUGAAGAAGGCCUUCGGGUUGUAAAGCACUUUUGUCCGGAAAGAAAUCCUUGGCUCUAAUACAGUCGGGGGAUGACGGUACCGGAAGAAUAAGCACCGGCUAACUACGUGCCAGCAGCCGCGGUAAUACGUAGGGUGCAAGCGUUAAUCGGAAUUACUGGGCGUAAAGCGUGCGCAGGCGGUUUGCUAAGACCGAUGUGAAAUCCCCGGGCUCAACCUGGGAACUGCAUUGGUGACUGGCAGGCUAGAGUAUGGCAGAGGGGGGUAGAAUUCCACGUGUAGCAGUGAAAUGCGUAGAGAUGUGGAGGAAUACCGAUGGCGAAGGCAGCCCCCUGGGCAAUACUGACGCUCAUGCACGAAAGCGUGGGGAGCAAACAGGAUUAGAUACCCUGGUAGUCCACGCCCUAAACGAUGUCAACUAGUUGUUGGGGAUUCAUUUCCUUAGUAACUAGCUAACGCGUGAAGUUGACCGCCUGGGGAGUACGGUCGCAAGAUUAAAACUCAAAUGAAUUG
rnacentral:rRNA from 1 species